rnacentral:tRNA from 1 species
CUCUGGAUGGUGAAAAUGGUGAACAUGCUUGGCUGCUAACCAAAAAGUUGAGGUUCAAGUCUACCCAGAGG